GGUUUUGGGUCAAGCUUGUUACCAUCUAGGUCUAAUGGAAGACGCAAUGAUUCUACUCCAAACCAGUAAAAGCCUUGCCACGGCGGCGCUCCACCGCGAAAGCUACUGCUUGUCCGACGACAGUUUCAUCCUUUCCACCUCCGCAUCUCAGCCUCCAUCAAUGACCGAAUCCGAGAUCGUCUCGCAAAUGCUCUCCCAAAUCAAAAUCUUCAUCCGACGGCGCACGGCAGCGCUCGCAGCAUUCGACGCCGGUCUCUACUCCGAGUCGAUCCGCCAUUUCUCUAAGAUCGUAGAAAGCCGUCGCGGCGCACCGCAGAGUUUCCUCGCCUAUUGCUUAAUCCGUCGCGCCUCCGCCUAUAAGUCCGCAGGUCGUCUCUUUAUCUUCUUCUCUUCUCCAUUGCUCACUUAAUUGAUUGUAAAUUCAGUUUUUGUUAUAAUAGAUCUGGAAGCCUUACUCGAUUUGAAGAGUUUUCUGAAGUUUGUUUGUACGCAUCACUUGUAUAGCCCCUGGAGAUAUCAGCCUUGUUCGUUAGGAGAUCGUGAGCGACCACAACGGUCUUAUUCAGUCGCUGUAUUUUUGUUUUCAUAGAGCUUAUUCCCCUGAUUUUCGGUCGCAGGUGUCGCUUCUUCUUAAGCUCAUCGAUUUAUCGUUGAGAUGCAUAUUGACAUUUAUGGUUUGUGCCAGAUCUCUGAAACUAAAACGAAUAUAGAAACUCUUCAAGGUGCGUUAUACCCGGCACCUUAGUUAAAUAUGGAGAGGUUGUUCAUGUUUGACAACUGUCAAGAACGAUCACAAGCUUGAGUUCAGCAAGAUCCUUGAGGCAUGGCAAUUGUUAUUGGUCUCUGUAUAUGCGUUGUGACUCUAUGAAGAAAUAGAGAGUUCACACAAAGCCAAAGGCUCUAAGGUGAUCUGCUGAUGGAAUGGCGUUGGCUAUUAAAUGGUAUGAGUUGGAGAUCUACUAGAGCUGCCUCGGUUUCUUUAUGACUUGGUUUGGUGAAGAAAUGUACUUGCGUUUUUUUUUCUUUAUGACUUGGUUGGUGAUUCAAGCCUUUGUAUCUUUUGGGUAUUUGAUAGAAUGAUUCUUUGUAAAAUGUAUGUUUUAUAUAAUAUUAAUUUUAUUUAUGAAUCAAUUUGCAAUC